rnacentral:rRNA from 1 species
UACGGAGGGUGCGAGCGUUAAUCGGACUGACUGGGCGUAAAGGGCGCGUAGGCGGUCUGUCAAGUUAGAUGUGAAAUGUCAGGGCUUAACCUUGUCGCUGCAUCUAAGACUGAUAGACUAGAGUACAGUAGAGGGCAGUGGAAUUUCCAGUGUAGCGGUGAAAUGCGUAGAUAUUGGAAGGAACACCAGUGGCGAAGGCGACUGUCUGGACUGAAACUGACGCUGAGGCGCGAAAGCGUGGGUAGCAAACAGG